rnacentral:miRNA from 1 species
GGUCAUGCUGUAGUUUCAUC